rnacentral:misc_RNA from 1 species
CACUUGCUUGAUGCCAAAUAUUCCCACCACAAGAAGCCUCAGUCCGAACAAUCUGAAUUCUAAUCAGAUGUUCCAUCAACUUCAUUAUCAGCAACAGCAACACUUCGUUCCAGGCAGUAGCCCUGGGGAUUCUCCUGGAACCAGCAGAGGAAAUGGCUUAUGGAGCAGAACAGGUGCAUCACCUACACUUGCUGCUGCUUCAUCUCUUGGACUCUUCUCCGGGUUGGGUGGCUCAGCUGGUUCAUCAGG